rnacentral:rRNA from 1 species
UAUCUCUGUAGAGUCUGCAUAUCAAUAAGCGGAGGAAAAGAAACUAACAAGGAUUCCCUUAGUAACGGCGAGUGAAGCGGGAAGAGCUCAAAUUUGAAAUCUUCAAGGUUUUACCUUGACGAAUUGUAGUUUAAAGAAGUGUUUUCUGUUAGAUGAGUUCGGUAAAAGUUCCUUGGAAUAGGGACAUCAUAGAGGGUGAGAAUCCCGUAUUUGACCAUUAUUUCAGCUUUGUGAUACACUUUCAAAGAGUCGGAUUGUUUGGGAAUGCAGUCCAAAAUGGGUGGUAAAUUUCAUCUAAAGCUAAAUAUUGGCGAGAGACCGAUAGCGAACAAGUACCGUGAGGGAAAGAUGAAAAGAACUUUGAAAAGAGAGUUAAACAGUACGUGAAAUUGUCAAAAGGGAAGCGUUUGACACCAGUGUUGUUUUUCCGAAAAUCAAUUACGAAUGGCUUGAUUUUGUGUUGUAUUGACCUUAUCAGCUUUCUUCACUUUUUUCGAGUCUUUCUUAAUGCACUUUUCGGUUAACAAGUCAACAUCAAUUUCUUUUGUUGUAAAAGAGUAUUCGGAAGGUGGCUUUCUUUUCGGAGAAAGUGUUUAUAGCCCUAUACUUCUACAAUCGGAGAGAUUGAGGUCUGCAGCGUAGAUCCUUCGGGGUUAGAUACACUUGUGCUAAGUUGUAGCUUUUCAUAGACAACUUGUUGACUAUGUUUAGUCAUGCGGCUUACUCGCUUAUGCUAUUUUACCUACGCUUAGGAUGUUGAAGAUGUAGCACAUCAU